UCAAAUUUUAUUUUUAAAAAGUGAUAGGUCACAAAGGAAUGUAAUCAACUUUCAAUUAUUUAUAUUAAUAGCUGAUAAAAAGUGGCUAUUCUUACAUUUAAGUCUUUAAUCCAUCUUGAAUUAAUUUUUGUAUAAGGUGUAAGGAAGGGAUCCAGUUUCAGCUUUCUACAUAUGGCUAGCCAGUUUUCCCAGCACCAUUUAUUAAAUAGGGAAUCCUUUCCCCAUUUCUUGUUUUUGUCAGGUUUGUCAAAGAUCAGAUGGUUGUAGAUGUGUGGUGUUAUUUCUGAAGCCUCUGUUCUGUUCCAUUGGUCUAUAUCUCUGUUUUGGUAGCAGUACCAUGCUGUUUUGGUUACUGUAGCCUUGUAGUAUAGUUUGAAGUCAGGUAGCAUGAUGCCUCCAGCUUUGUUCUCUUUGCUUAGGAUUGUCUUGGCAAUGCAGGCUCUUUUUUGGUUCCAUAUGAACUUUAAAGUAGUUUUUCCCAAUUCUGUGAAGAAAGUCAUUGGUAGCUUGAUGGGGAUGGCAUUGAAUCUAUAAAUGACCUUGGGCAGUAUGGCCAUUUUCAUGAUAUUGAUUCUUCCUAUCCAUGAGCAUGGAAUGUUCUUCCAUUUGUUUGUGUCUUCCUUUAUUUCAUUGAGCAGUGGUUUGUAGUUCUCCUUGAAGAGGUCCUUCACAUCCCUUGUAAGUGGGAUUCCUAGGUAUUUUAUUCUCUUUGUAGCAGUUGUGAAUGGGUGUUCACUCAUGAUAUGGUUCUCUGUUAUUGGUGUGUAGGAAUGCUUGUGAUUUUUGCACAUUGAUUUUGUAUC
rnacentral:lncRNA from 1 species